CCUACGGGAGGCAGCAGUGAGGAAUAUUGGUCAAUGGGCGGAAGCCUGAACCAGCCAAGUCGCGUGAGGGAAUAAGGCCCUAUGGGUUGUAAACCUCUUUUGCCGGGGAGCAAGGGCGGGGACGUGUCCCGGCCCGGAGAGUACCCGAAGAAAAAGCAUCGGCUAACUCCGUGCCAGCAGCCGCGGUAAUACGGAGGAUGCGAGCGUUAUCCGGAUUUAUUGGGUUUAAAGGGUGCGUAGGCGGACUUUUAAGUCAGCGGUAAAAAUUCGGGGCUCAACCCCGUCCGGCCGGUGAACCUGGGAGCCUUGAGUGAGCGAGAAGUAGGCGGAAUGCGUGGUGUAGCGGUGAAAUGCAUAGAUAUCACGCAGAACCCCGAUUGCGAAGGCAGCAUACCGGCGCUCAACUGACGCUCAUGCACGAAAGCGUGGGUAUCGAACAGGAUUAGAUACCCUGGUAGUC
rnacentral:rRNA from 1 species